rnacentral:tRNA from 1 species
GCGGCGGUAGCUCAGUUGGAUAGAGCAACGGUCUUCUAAACCGUAGGUCACGGGUUCGACUCCUGUCCGCCGCGCCA